rnacentral:lncRNA from 1 species
GAGACGGUAUGUUUGUCGAUUUGUGGAAUAUAUCUAUGAUAGCUAUAUCGAACUUAAAAACUAAUUUGCUCCUUUUAUAAUUAAUUUGUUGGAUUUUUUACACUUUCCUCCGCUCUGUCUCUGACUGUGCGCAUGUGUUUGUGUGUCGGGAGCGAGCGCAGCCCUGAAAUCCUGCCUGAAAUUUUCCAUGCUACUAUUACUACUAGUAGUGUGGCAUUUCCGCGGGCUCCGUUGGCAGCGCGCAGUGUUUGCAGUGCAGUGCACAGGGAAGGCGGGAGAUGGGUAACACUGGGAGAGAAUGUUUGUCAAUCUAUGAUAGCUAUAUCGAACUUAAAAACUAAUUUACGGAUAUAUAUCCGUUAGUUUGUGCUCACAUUUAGGAUACUAGUAAGCCAAUCAGUCGCCUCAGUCACGACCUCGGGAAUUUGAGAGAAAGCAGGUGGAUGGAUCUGUAGUUCAGCAGGAAGUGUGAGGGGAACGACCAACAGAGGACCACAAUCAAGUUUUGUGAUCCAGAAAGCCUUUCCAGCACUGAUCCCUAACAUGAAUAAGCUGACAGUCAUCGUUUUGCUGCUGUGUACAGCUAGACUCACUCUGUGCUUUCCAGCAAGUCAUGGUGGAAACAGUUCUGCUGAUGUUACAGAUGGAAACAGUUCUGAACAGGUGUUUUUCUGCAAGGAUCCAGGUUGUGCCGAUAAUUUGACUUCUGUAUAUUGUGACGACAAGUCGAUGCUAACCAAUUCCAGUAGCAUUCCAGUUUGUACAGUCCCUCUACUGCCCAAUACUGUCUGCCAGCAUGACGGUCGGGCAUUCAUUUCCACUAAUUCAGGGAAGGGCUGUGAAUUUGAAAGGAACGUCCUUAUUGAGACCAUAAAAUGUACAGACCAGAUCAGCAUUUGUAAUUUUACGAGAGUUACUGCAUCAUCAGGAGUCACCACAGAGGCAACGCCAAAGGAACAAUCAACCACUAAACGCAUCAGUAUCUGUGUGAUAGUAGGACUAGUAGGACUAGUAGGACUAGCAGUAAUCUUAUGUCCGAUUGUAUAUUGGUGGAUAAGGAAACGAAACAGAGAGCGAAAUCGAAACCAGCCAGAAAGGUAA